rfam:Ipomoea nil DNA, scaffold: scaffold0211, cultivar: Tokyo-kokei standard.
GGAUGUAUUACUGGGCUGAUCUUCUUUGGCAGUUGGUCAACUAACUUGGUCUCACUGCCAAAGAAGAUUUGCCCCGCAAUUCACCU